UACGUAGGGGGCAAGCGUUGUCCGGAUUUAUUGGGCGUAAAGAGCGUGUAGGCGGCUGGGUAGGUCCGCUGUGAAAACUCGAGGCUUAACCUCGAGACGUCGGUGGAAACCAUCCAGCUAGAGUCCGGAAGAGGCGAGUGGAAUUCCUGGUGUAGCGGUGGAAUGCGCAGAUAUCAGGAGGAACACCAACGGCGAAGGCAGCUCGCUGGGACGGUACUGACGACUAAGGCGCGAAAGCGUGGGGAGCGAACAGG
rnacentral:rRNA from 1 species